UGCCAGCAGCCGCGGUAAUACGAAGGGUGCUAGCAUUAUUCGGAAUCAUUGGGCGUAAAGCGUAUGUAGGCGGCUUUGUAAGUUGGUUGUGAAAUCCCGGGGCUCAACCCGGGAAUUGCAUCAAAACUGCUUCGCUAAAGUAUAGUAGGGGGUAGUGGAAUUCCUAGUGUAGGGGUGAAAUCCGUAGAUAUUAGUAGGAACAUCAGCGGCGAAAGCGGCUAUCUUGGCUACUACUGACGCUGAGAUACGAAAGCGUGGGGAGCAAACAGGAUUAGAUA
rnacentral:rRNA from 1 species